rnacentral:rRNA from 1 species
GCAGGCUGCAACUCGCCUGCACGAAGUCGGAAUUGCUAGUAAUCGUAGGUCAGCAUACUACGGUGAAUACGUUCCCGGGCCUUGUACACACCGCCCGUCAAACCAUGAGAGUUGGCAACACCCGAAGUCGGUAGUCUAACCGCAAGGAGGACGCCGCCGAAGGUGGGGGUUGAUGAUUAGGGUUAAGUCGUAACAAGGUAGC